AGAAAGUUUGGGGAUGCCUUCAUAGCUUAGUUUUAUGCUAUUGAGGCAAAAAUAGCCUCUCUCCAAUCUCCAUUUAGCGUUCAUCCUCCAUAAACCCUUGAGGAGUGAGGACUUGCCGUUCUGCAGCCCGUUCCAAGUUCCAUGCUUUGCUCCAUUGAACCAGUUAGAGAGAGAAGAAAUACUGCCCCCCUACAUCUCCCAAUCUCUCUUAGCAAUCACUAAACUCACCAAGCCUACCACACUAAUAAGGUAAAGAAAGAAUCAGGAGCCACUCUGUGUGGUCGGUCCGCAAUGAUUGCUUGCAGCGGCAGGAGGGCUCGCUGAUGGGGGCCUCAAAGAUGUUGUUGAGAAUGUAGGACCAUUGAUAGAAACAUAUAAUACCAAUUAGUUGAUGAUAGGAAGCUAGACUUGCAAGAAAUUCAUGGGUUGCGGUUGUUAAAUAGUGUUUUUCAAAAAAAAUAAAUUUUUAUUUAUUUAUUGUAGUUUUAAAUUAAUAUU